UAAGUAGGGCGUGAAAGCGCGUGGCUCAACCAUAUACACAUGUCCUAAACUGCUAAGCUAGAAUAUAAAGAGGUCGCUGGAAUUCCUUGUGUAGGAGUGAAAUCCGUAGAUAUAAGGAGGAACACCGAUGGCGUAGGCAGGCGACUGGUCUAUUAUUGACACUAAGGCACGAAAGCGUGGGUAGCAAACGGGAUUAGGUACCCCGGUAGUCCACGCCGUAAACUAUGGAUGCUA
rnacentral:rRNA from 1 species